ACUCUGCAGCGCUUGAAGGACGUAAACAGCCAACAGCUUUGUAAAUAUCAGCGGGGGUUUAACCUCUAAACACUGUGAUGGGUUUAUACAUGUAAAAUAUGUUAUUAAGUAGCAGCUGGCAGUCCUCAUAGUCCAUUUUAUCUGUUUGUUUAGCUUAUAGCUAAUGCAUAUCUUACACGUGAGAUGCAGAAUAUAGCGCUUCCUAAAAGUAUGCUUACUUAGUAACCCUUGAAAAAAGUACUGUGGUUUUACCAUGGUACAGAGAUGGUAUCAGACGGUUACAGCUUUGUAAGUGCCAUGAGACAGUUUUGAUCUGGACAAUAUUCCUAAUGCCUACAAGAGGAUUGGUGAAUGGAGGCUGAAGUUUUACUGAUGCACAGUUUAAAUAAUUGAUUGUCUCUGGACUUAAAGAUCUGUAUGGAGAGGUGUCACCGUUUUUGCUAGCUUUGUCCGGAAAUAGUCACAAACUGCAGUUUGGAGAGAAGGGACUAAACACGAUGAAAAACAUGAUGUUCAUUCUUGGAAGAUAUAUUUUCAGAAAAGUAAACUCAUUUUCCGGG